rnacentral:snRNA from 1 species
AAAAAGGGUUCCUGUCAUGAGUGACACACGUAGGGCAGCUCAUUCGCUCUAUGUGCAGAAUCGACAUCGAGAUUUUGGGAGCAUAAUUUUUAUUUGUUUGGGCAGCUGGUGAUCGGUGGGUCCCA